AAAUGAACAAACCCUAACACCUUUUACAAUCGUAGAUGGUUUCAACACCAUUGCCGCCGCAGCACAUCUCCAAACCCUAGAUCUGAUGCCGGAGCACUCUUAAUGGUUGCUCUGGGGAUUGUGGUUCAAAGGUCACUCUUAAUUCUUAUCUAACAUGAUAUUUGAGCUUUUUAUGUCACGGUGUAUUACUAUUUGUUAAUAACAAAGGAUUAUGAAGGUAGUCUAGUCCACAAGCAACACUAAUGUAUAUCUUGAGGCAUUAGAUCACAUGAGACUAGUGUGUCCGAAGAUUUGUGUUGCACGUGUGUCAUGUGAGACCGUAAUGACUCUAGAUAGCCAUUCGUGUUGCUCGUGGGCUGGCUUACCAUCAUAAUCCUUUGUUUUAUUGACCUAUAGUCAUAUACCGUGAUAUAAAUAGCUCAAGUAUUAUGUUGGUUAAGAGGUCCGAUGUUAUUGUUGAUGAAAGUAUUGUUAGAGCAUCGUUUUUUGUACUUUGUAACUCUUGUAUGAACGAUUGUGUUUUUUUGUUUCAAUUGUAUCUUUGUAAUGAAACCUGUGGGUGUUUGUUUUGUUGAUGUUUGAUGGUUCUUGAAA